GCAGUUUUGAAUUUUUAGCCCCACAUUUUACCGGACCGGCACUGACAAGACUUAGUCUUUCUAUAAAAGGACACUCUUUCUCGUUGCUAUUUAGAGGUUUUUGUCUCGGCAUGACGUGAAGUGCUCGGAAUAACCCCAAUUUGGGAGCUUUUUCGCCUAUGCCUUCCAAGUUCCUUCUCAUGGUUAUCGUCUCUUCUACAACACCAGCAUAAUAUACAUAUGACAUGAUGUAUUAAACCAUGAAAAUCAACAAAACAAUAACAUAAAUAAAAUAACGAAAGUAUAUGUAAGUAAGUGACUCAUUGAGUUUGCGGUGUUCUGCUUGGGUUGCAAGGGCUUGUUCAUCUAUAAA